rnacentral:rRNA from 1 species
GUGAACGCUGGCGGUAGGCCUAACACAUGCAAGUCGAACGGCAGCACCGUAAGAGCUUGCUCUUACGGGUGGCGAGUGGCGGACGGGUGAGGAAUACAUCGGAAUCUACUUUUUCGUGGGGGAUAACGUAGGGAAACUUACGCUAAUACCGCAUACGACCUACGGGUGAAAGCAGGGGAUCUUCGGACCUUGCGCGAUUGAAUGAGCCGAUGUCGGAUUAGCUAGUUGGCGGGGUAAAGGCCCACCAAGGCGACGAUCCGUAGCUGGUCUGAGAGGAUGAUCAGCCACACUGGAACUGAGACACGGUCCAGACUCCUACGGGAGGCAGCAGUGGGGAAUAUUGGACAAUGGGCGCAAGCCUGAUCCAGCCAUACCGCGUGGGUGAAGAAGGCCUUCGGGUUGUAAAGCCCUUUUGUUGGGAAAGAAAAGCAGCAGGUUAAUACCCCGCUGUUCUGACGGUACCUAAAGAAUAAGCACCGGCUAACUUCGUG